rnacentral:antisense_RNA from 1 species
CUGACACCUUGAGUGCAGCCUGUGAGACCCUGAGCAGAGGGUCAGCAGUCCCCUCCCCGGACUCCUGCCACACAGAAGCCAUGAGGCAUCCCCAUCACACACUAGGCUUGGUGACUGCACUUGAGGGACUCACAGGACUUAGCCUACCAUCAUACUAGUGGCUGAGAUUUACUAUGGUGACAAGAUGCGACGCAGAAUUAGUAACAGGAAAAUGCAUUUGGGGUGAGAGCCGGAGGAAACCAGCUGACAGAACCAAGGACACACACCUUGUUGACGACGCCCUCAAGGCUGUGAGGAGAAAGACAACCGGGUGAAGCAACGCUGGGAAUUCAACGCAUCAAUGACCUUCCCAGGUAACAGCAGCUUACUUGAGCUCCUAAGAGUCGACCUUCAGCUGCUGUCAUGGAAAAUACUGGGGGUCAACUAGACACCAAAGAUGAAAGGCCAGGCCUCCAGCACAACUUUCUCUGUAAGCUAAAUAGUGGCUUUCUCAAAGACAUCCUUUUCUCAA